rnacentral:rRNA from 1 species
AGAGUUUGAUCCUGGCUCAGGAUGAACGCUGGCGGCGUGCUUAACACAUGCAAGUCGAACGGAAAGGCCUCAGCUUGCUGGGGUGCUCGAGUGGCGAACGGGUGAGUAACACGUAGGUGAUCUGCCUUUCACUUCGGGAUAAGCUUGGGAAACUGGGUCUAAUACCGGAUAUUCACUAUGCCGUGGUUGGUGUGGUGGAAAGCUUUUGCGGUGGGAGAUGAGCUUGCGGCCUAUCAGCUUGUUGGUGGGGUAAUGGCCUACCAAGGCGGCGACGGGUAGCCGGCCUGAGAGGGUGUGCGGCCACAUUGGGACUGAGAUACGGCCCAGACUCCUACGGGAGGCAGCAGUGGGGAAUUUUGCACAAUGGGCGGAAGCCUGAUGCAGCGACGCCGUGUGGGGGAUGAAGGCCUUCGGGUUGUAAACUCCUUUCGUCAGGGACGAAGUUUGUUUGACGGUACCUGGAUAAGAAGCACCGGCUAACUACGUG